UUUGUUUCCAUGCGGUGAUUGUUUCCACCAUUCAAUUCGCUCUCUUUUCUUCCAACCCCUUCUUCUCAUUUGAUCGGAUUUUAUACAAACAUGUUGCGUGCAGCAUCAUUUUCAUCACUCUCAUUCUCCAGGUUCAGCUUCUCUCUUCAUAUCCCCUCUUUUCUUGUGCCCUAUGUUUUCCCUUUUCGCUUUCCUUCCUGUUCAUGUUCAAUGUCAAGCCUUCACUCUCAUUCUCAGCUCACAUCCCCUCGCCAUGUUGAUGAAGCUGUUGAUUCCUUCACUCGCAUGCUCUCUAUGCGUCGCACUCCAUCCAUCGUCCAAUUUAACCAGAUUUUGGGGUCUCUUGCCAAGACGCACCAUUUCCCCACCGCCAUUUCCCUUUUUCAGCAAUUGCAAACCAGGGGAAUUGCUCCCAGCAUAGUUACUUUGAGCAUCGUAAUUAAUUGUUGUUGCGGCAUGGGUCAUAUGGCGCUUGCUUUCUCUGUAUUGACCAAGAUUUUCAGGAUGGGUUUUCAGCCUGAUAUCAUAACGUUGAAUACACUCAUUAAAGGUCUCUGUCUCUCUGGUAAGGUUGAAAAAGCACUGCAUUUUCAUGAUAGAUUGUUGGCUCAUGGAUUUCACUUCGACCAAGUCACUUAUGCAACUUUGAUUAAUGGGCUUUGUAAGACCGGACACACAGCAGCUGCUAUUCAAGUGUUGAGAAAGAUUCCACGGUAUGGGAUUGCUCCUGAUGCGUCAUGUACAGCGCAAUUAUUGAUAGCUUGUGCAAGGUUACGCUUGUAAGUGAUGCUUUUCAUUUAUACUCUGAAAUGCUUGCUAAGGGAAUCUCUCCCGAUGUUAUCACGUACAACACUCUAACUUAUGGAUUGUGCCUUGCGGGCCAACUUAAGGAAACCAUUGAUUUACUAAAUCAUAUGAUGCUGAAAAACAUCAGUCCAGAUGUUCGUACCUAUAACACUUUGAUUGAUGGACUAUGUAAGGAGGGAAAUAUCAAAGAUGCUAAGAGUGUGUUGGCUGUGAUGACAAAAGAUGCUGUGGAGCCAACUGUGGUUACUUAUAAUUGUUUAAUGGAUGGGUAUUGCUUGGUUAACGAAUUAAACAAGGCAAAAUGUAUAUUCGACACAAUGGCCCAUAUAGGAAUGACUCCUAAUAUCCAAAGUUACAAUAUUAUUAUUAAUGGCUUGUGCAAAAGUAAAUUGAUGGAUGAUGCCUUGAAUAUCUUUGAAGAGAUGCGUCGCAAGAACUUGGUUCCGGACACGGUAACUUACAAUACUCUAAUUGAUGGCUUGAGAAAAUCAAGGAGAAUCUCUUGUGCUUCAAAGCUUCUUGUUGAGAUGCAUAGUAAAGGUCAACCUGCUGAUAUAAUCACUUACACUUCCUUGUUGGAUGGGAUGUUCAAUAUCAAACAAGUUGACGAGGCACUUAUGUUAUUUAAUCAAAUGAAAAAGAGUGGCAUUGAUCCGAAUAUAUUCACGUAUAAUAUACUUAUUCAUGGCCUAUGCAAAAAUGGAAGACUUAUAGAAGCAAAAGAGAUUUUUCAAGAUCUUUCCAUUAAAAACUAUCAUCCAAAUGUGAGGACAUACACUAUUAUGAUCAAUGGGCUUUGCAAAGAGGGCUUAUUUGAAGAAGCAUUGGCCCUGAUGUCAAAAAUGGAAGACAAUGGUUGCUUACCAAAUGCUGUGACUUUUGAAAUUGUUAUUCGUGCUUUGUUUGAAAAAGGUGAGAAUGACAUGGCGGAGAAACUUCUUCAGGAAAUUAUUGCUAGAGGCUUAUUGAAUGGAUGAAUGAAGGUAAGAUACAUCAACUCAAAUUGAAAUCACCUCUCUAUUGUUGCAGAAUAUUUAUCAUAGUUCUGUAAAUUCUGUAUCUGUUGGGUCAGAUAACUUUGGCAAUGCCAUAACAUCAAUACCACUGAUGUCUUAACUAUCUCAUUUAUAUUCAAUUAAUUUUUAACUUUCAAUUUUUGUAACUGCUAUCAUCCUUUUUACUUCCACUAUGCUUUAUUGAUUCUUUAGAGGAUAUUCCUAGUUGUAGUUUACAGGUUUAGUGUUUAAGAUCUCUUUAUAGUAAUUAAUAGUUCUUUACUUUUAUCCUAUUUGAUCAUAUAUCUUAACUGUUAUCAUGCUACAAACUAAGAAAAACAAAAAAGAGUGUUAUAAACAUUUGCAAGUCCAUUGCAUUCUGUAUAAGGAAAAUUACAUUAUUAUGAAAAAUGUGGUUCUAAAAUAUGAGUGCGUUAAUAAUUCGGUUAUGGUUUCCCAACUUCAAAUUUUAUUGUUAUUUUGCUUGUUGAUCAAUGACUUCUCUAUGGAGAUUGGCAAUAUUUGAUUUACACUGGAUUUUGACCUGCUUAAAUGAGUGUGGUUUGGCCACCAAAGUAUUUCAAAGCAGAUAUUUUUAUUUCUCUUGCCUUGAUUUUAGCUUGUAGUUUUGUACGUCUAAACUUGUGUCACAAGAACUUAGUUCCUAAUACGGUAACUUACAACACUCUUAUUGAUGGCUUGGGCAAAUCAAAGUGAUUCCCUCGCGCUUUGGAGCUUUUUGUUGAGAUGCAUGAUAAAGGUCAACCUUCUUCUAUAUUCAUUUACAAUUUCUUGAUAGAUGCCUUGUGCAAAAACCAACAACUUGACAAGGCACUUGUGUUAUUCAGUAAAAUGGAAGAGGUUGCCAUUAACCAAAUAUACACUCAUACAACAUGCUUAUUGAUGACCUAUGCAAAAGUGGAAAACUUAAACAUGCUCAGGAGAUUUUUCAGGAUCUUCCUGUUAGAGGCUAAACGUCCAGCCAGACAUACAAUAUUGUGAUCAAUAGUCUUUCUAGAGAGGGUCUGUUUGAAGAUGCAUUGGCCCUGUUGUCAAAAAUGGAACAUGAUGGUUGCAUUCCUGAUGCUGUGACUUUUUAAACCAUUAUUUGAGCUUUGUUUGAAAAAGAUGAGAAUGUUACGGCAGGAAAACUCCUUCGUGAAAUAAUUGCUAGAGGCUUAUUGAAUAGAUAAAAGAAGAUGACUUUGGCAAUGCCAUGACCUCACUAUCACUAAGGUGGAGUAUCUAACAAAUUCCCAUGACUGUUGACAUUUAUCAUUAGCAAAUAGCAACCGUAAACUGUUGUUUAUUUGACCGAAUCCUCCAAGAACUGUAGUAAAACGAAUUUAAGUGGGGAUUAAGGAUGUAUUCAUAAGCUAUACGGUUUUCUAUUCCACCUUAAAAAUAAAUCCAACUUCUAAAAUGUGUGUCGCCUCUUUUGAUUUUCCUUUUUAUCUUUAUUUCCUUUUCAGAUUACAGCCUAAGCAAAAUCGAUUUAGGUUAUCCAUCUAAAGUCUAAACUUCCCAAUUUUAUCUCGUUAUCUAUUAGAAGAAGUUCCCCACAUCAAGAUGCUGUCUUUUUUAUGCUAAAGCAUGUGAUGACACUUGAUGUUAAAACUCAAGAUAUUGCGUGUGAAGAAAAGAUAGAGGACAUGGAGAAGAAGAAGAAAAUGAAAGAGGCCAUGAUUCUUGUUACUAUUGUAUUUUUGUGGCAAUAAUUAAUGAUAGGAGUCGGAGCUGCAAUUACUUUUGAUGGCUGCCAAAUAGCCAAAGAGAGUUUUAGUUUGGAUUUAUUUUGUUGAAUGCUUCUGUUGACUCAGUUGAUUCUUAUAGUGGAUUUUGGAAUGCUGGUUUUUUAUUACUAAAUUUUCAAGAUAAAUAUUCCUCUAUAUUAGUUAAGGAUUCGACUAAUGUGCUCCCCUUUAUCUUUUGAUGAUGUUUGCAGGUUUUGGGAGAAAGAAAGAGGCUAAAUUUUUGUGGCAAUGUGCAAUAUAUUCCACUAUUUGGAGCAUUUGGCUAGAACAGUCUUCGUACAUUUCAUGACAGAUUCACAGGAAAAGUUGUUUGUUUUAAAAUAUGAUUUUUUCAGAUGACUUUCCCUCAGACAUGAUGAGAAGAGAUUGGAAGUUGCCGUUCAUUGAAGCUUCCGAACUUGUUUGUAUUUCCAAUGGUUUGGAGAAACUUUUUCCUCCACCCAUUUGUACUUUUCUCUCAAUACAUUAAUGAUAUUCUUUCUUUUGUUAUCAAGAAAAAAAUAUAUAAAAGAUAGCUAGAAUGAUGCUAUUGAGAACUCCGAAAUAAAUGUUUGUAACAUUUAUCUGUGGAUUUUAUCUAUCUAUGAAAAAAUAGA